UACGUAGGGUGCAAGCGUUAAUCGGAAUUACUGGGCGUAAAGCGUGCGCAGGCGGUUUUGUAAGUCUGUCGUGAAAGCCCCGGGCUCAACCUGGGAAUUGCGAUGGAGACUGCAAGGCUAGAAUCUGGCAGAGGGGGGUAGAAUUCCACGUGUAGCAGUGAAAUGCGUAGAGAUGUGGAGGAAUACCGAUGGCGAAGGCAGCCCCCUGGGUCAAGAUUGACGCUCAUGCACGAAAGCGUGGGGAGCAAACAGG
rnacentral:rRNA from 1 species